GACGAACGCUGGCGGCGUGCUUAACACAUGCAAGUCGAACGGUGACCCAGGGCUUGCCCUGGUGAUCAGUGGCGAACGGGUGAGUAACACGUGGGCAACCUGCCCCUGACUUCGGGAUAACUCCUCGAAAGAGGAGCUAAUACCGGAUACGACCACUUCGGACAUCCGAUGGUGGUGGAAAGUUUUUCGGUCAGGGAUGGGCCCGCGGCCUAUCAGCUAGUUGGUGGGGUAAUGGCCUACCAAGGCGACGACGGGUAGCCGGCCUGAGAGGGCGACCGGCCACACUGGGACUGAGACACGGCCCAGACUCCUACGGGAGGCAGCAGUGGGGAAUAUUGCGCAAUGGGCGAAAGCCUGACGCAGCGACGCCGCGUGAGGGAUGAAGGCCUUCGGGUUGUAAACCUCUUUCAGCAGGGACGAAGCGAAAGUAGACGGUACCUGCAGAAGAAGCACCGGCUAACUACGUGCCAGCAGCCGCGGUAAU
rnacentral:rRNA from 1 species